rnacentral:rRNA from 1 species
CCUACGGGAGGCUGCAGUGGGGAAUAUUGCACAAUGGGCGCAAGCCUGAUGCAGCCAUGCCGCGUGUGUGAAGAAGGCCUUCGGGUUGUAAAGCACUUUCAGCGGGGAGGGAGGCGUUAAGGUUAAUAACCUUGGCGAUUGACGUUACCCGCAGAAGAAGCACCGGCUAACUCCGUGCCAGCAGCCGCGGUAAUACGGAGGGUGCAAGCGUUAAUCGGAAUUACUGGGCGUAAAGCGCACGCAGGCGGUCUGUCAAGUCGGAUGUGAAAUCCCCGGGCUCAACCUGGGAACUGCAUUCGAAACUGGCAGGCUAGAGUCUUGUAGAGGGGGGUAGAAUGCCAGGUGUAGCGGUGAAAUGCGUAGAGAUCUGGAGGAAUACCGGUGGCGAAGGCGGCCCCCUGGACAAAGACUGACGCUCAGGUGCGAAAGCGUGGGGAGCAAACAGGAUUAGAUACCCGGGUAGUC